rnacentral:rRNA from 1 species
AGCACCACAACGGGUGGAGCUUGCGGUUUAAUUGGAUUCAACGCCGGAAAUCUUACCGGGACCGACAGCAAUAUGAAGGCCAGGCUGAAGACUUUGCCGGAUUAGCUGAGAGGUGGUGCAUGGCCGUCGUCAGUUCGUACUGUGAAGCAUCCUGUUAAGUCAGGCAACGAGCGAGACCCACGCCCACAGUCGCCAGCGUACUCUCCGGAGUGACGGGUACACUGUGGGGACCGCCGCUGCUAAAGCGGAGGAAGGAAUGGGCAACGGUAGGUCAGUAUGCCCCGAAUAUCCCGGGCUACACGCGAGCUACAAUGGUUGGUACAAUGGGUAUCUACACCGAAAGGUGAAGGCAAUCUCCUAAACCCAUCCGUAGUUCGGAUUGUGGGCUGCAACUCGCCCACAUGAAGCUGGAAUCUGUAGUAAUCGUGUCUCAAAAUGGCACGGUGAAUAUGUCCCUGCUCCUU